ensembl:antisense C79798 expressed sequence C79798
GUGCCUGGAGUUGCAACGGUACAGGAAAGGGUUUCCAUUUUCUGUGCCAUAAGGUGCCGGUGUUGAUCUUCUUAAAGCCCCAGAGUUUUCUUCCAAGACUGGAUUACGCUCAGCAAUUAAGGCUUCUUGUUGUAAGAGCUCAGCAGACAGUGACGCGAGACACUGCCUCCCAACUUCAGUUCACCUUUGCAGUUCCACAAGGGACACCAUGUCAAGAUUGUUCAGCUUUUUUGAUGAGUGCUGCGUGGGUAACUAAUGUGUAAAUGCAGAUACGUAUAGAAAGCAGUUUUGACAGUGAUGUAUUGCAACUGGUUCCAGAUGUCGGUAAGGGAUGCUUGGCCAGGCAACUGGGGCUGCACUGCCACAGAGCAGCUCCAGAGUCACACCACUCCUCAAACCAGGGCACUGUAAUCCUCCUUUUAGAAUCUUCCUUAAACUAUUAUUGUACUCCUCUCAAAAUAAUACAAAUAUUUCUGCUGUGCUGCUCGUGUUUUAAACAUAGACUUUUUGGCUUUCUACAGUAAUGUUCAGUGAAUAUUAAAAUUUAGUGAAUAGUCAUCUGCUAUAAUGAGACCUUUAACUAAAUUACACCAAAACCUCAAUAUGCACAAAAUGUAAACAGUCCUUGACUAGAAAAGUAAACGUUGAGCUGCUCACGUAGACCUGAUUUCCUAGAAAGAAUCAACAUGGUACAUGUAUCAGAACAAUUUUAAGUUAGGUCAUCCCAUUCUCUUUCUCUCCUGCUGCUGUCUACAUGCUUGACAGCUGUACGUCACAGGCUAUGCUAGCUGCGUGGAUUUUAAGGACUAGAUGAAUUCUGAAAUGACCUAUUUUCAGAACACAAUCCUGAGAAAGAAAACUGACAAGCAAGUAUAUAAAAUGAAAUUUCUGAUCCAUAAACUAAUGAAAUGCAAAAAAGAUGCACACAAAAGUGAAAAUACAUCAUUAUAUUCAUGCAAUGAAUGGCCUCAAACCUUUAAAAUUGAUAAAGCUGCAUUUCCUACAUGAAAAACAUUGUAGCACAGCUCCAACAUAAGCAUUUGGCCUGAUGGGAAUUCUUUAAAACAACCUGUCUGUCUCCCUCUUCUUUCAGUACCCAACUCCCUGCUCCAAUCAAAAGCAGUUCUCAGGGGAUCCCCUACAGCUGCAUGCUUGCCAUGUGGUUUUGAUAUAAGGCAUUUCUCACUGAUCAAGGGGACUGCAGGAAGCAUGUGUUCUAUUUGCCCUAGAACAAAGAAGGUGACUUACCUUUCUCAUUUUCACCGCCAAUCAAAGGUUUGAAAAUACUUUAAUAGAAAUACAGGAAAACAAAUUCAUCUGUGUGUUUAGAAUUGUGUGCUUCCUUUUACUUUGUAAUAAGCUGAAUGCAUUGAAUAUUCUAAGUAUAUCAUAAAACUUUUAAUCUGUGGGGGAAACCUUGGAGUCAAUAACUUACUAUUAUGAAUAAGUUGUUUGACUGUAACCCAAAGUCACUGAGCCUGGUCUCUUACAACUUAAUGCUAAUCGGGGUUUGAGACAUUUUUACAAUUGACUGGCCAUGGAUCAAAUUUAUUUCCAACCUUGUAUUUAAAUGGCCAAUCAGUAUAAUUUCUAACUGACUUAGACUACACUAAAGAUGGUGAUGGCCUCUUCAGUAGUCACACACUUAUCCCAUUACAGGUUCCUUAUGACUGUCUCCACUGACUGAGGUUUAGUCUUAUCCUAAACAUGAGUUUUAAUUGCUCACAAACUAGUAAUAGCUUAAAAGUAGUUUUCAAACUACAGAUGCACUUAGUAAAUUACUAAUCCUUCU